AGAUGUCUCAUUUUUUUUAAGGGAACUUAAAGAGAUGCUCCUGUGUACUACACAAUUUGCACUGGUAACUAGAAUCAUUUUCCUUGCCCAGAAUUUUCACCUGAAAUAGAAACUAGGCACUAGACAAAUAUUCUCAGCAUAACAGAACUGCAGCCUGUCUAUAAUCAUUAACAGGAACUGAGUCUGAUCUGCACCAACAUAAGCAGAAAGAGCAAGGCAACAUCUUUCCAAAUACAUGCAAACACAUUUGAAAUCUCAACUGUGACGCAAACUGUUUCACGGAAAGGUGGAUUCUUUUCAGGGCUGAAGUCAUUCUUCCAGAAUGCAAAAAAAUAUAAAAAUGUAAUAAACCUAAAUUAUGUGAAAGAAAUAAAAUGAAAGUAAGAGUUCAAGGAGAAGAAAGAAUGAUGCAAAACGUCCAACUGCUAGAAGAGAGUUUACUUCUUCAGUGGAUAAUGACAGAAAUGCUCCCUUCAAGCCGUGUGGGCCAAUCUGCAAUCCUUAAAGCCUCCAGAAUAAAUUUUAAAUUUUGAGACUGAGGGAAUGCAAAGCUCUUCCCCUAUGACUCGCUGUCUCUCCGGAACUAACUUCCAUCUCCACUGCUGCCACCCUAGUCCUGAUUAGCUGCAGUAAACUCCAGAGAUCUCCUGAAUUUGUGUCUUUCCCCCCAUACUCAACGGUUCUUUCUCCACACAGCAGCCUCAGUGUUCGUUCUGAAGUGCAAUGUAGAUAACGUCACUCUCUGCAUAAAAGCCCCCAAUGGUGUACCGCUG
rnacentral:lncRNA from 1 species